GCAAGGUGCAUCCGGGGACUGCAGGAGGGUGAGCGUACCAUGCCCACCUGGUCCCCUCCCAAGAGGCUUUCAUUCUGCCCUCAGUGACUCUCACUUGCCCCACUCAUGGAAGAUUGUUUGAAAUAAAAGUGGAUUCACAUCUAUUUAGUUCUGAAGCCUCUCUGGCAUCCCUGGAAUUGGCAAAGAUGCCUAGGAUGGGCUCCCCAAGGUGAGGCUUGGAGCAGCCACAGGGAAUCCAGCAGUGGGAGGCACUCUGAAGUCCUGGGUACUCCAAGCCUUCCUUGACUUUCACUCAUGUGAAAGAUUAGUAAAGACAGUCUUUGGCAUUUUGUCCAUAGGGACCAAGAUUUUACUUUAAAAAGCAUCCAAAUGUUGCUGGCAGGUUGGAGGUAGAGGCAGGAAAGAUAAGUAAAAACAUGCGAUCCACAUGACGCAAAUAGUUUGAGAAGAUCAUCCAGGGAAGGAGAGGCUUCUUGAUGCCAGAAUUAGGACAGGGCUUUCCAGCUGACAAGGAAGGUCACCCACCUAUGAGUAAAAAGUGAGUGGGUAAGGUCCUUUGCAAGGGCCCCUUUGGUUCUAAUAUUGAAAAAAUCAUCACCCAGGUCCAGUUUUCACUGGAAAUUUACACCCUAGCCAAACACUGUACUUUGUAAGAAAUUAGGAAAAGACAUUUUCUGCCUUCAGAAAUCUUAACAAACCCCACUAUAAGUUUCAUUUGUGCAUUGUUGCAUAACAAAUGAUACUAAAAUAUGGUAGCUUAAAACAACAAUCAUUUAUCAUUACUUGCAAUUCUGUGGGUUGACUGGGCUCAGCUGGGUGGUUCUUCUGAUCUAUGGUGAUGUCAUCAGGGGUCACUGUCAUCCAGAAGCUCAACUGGGCUGGAGUCAGCCCUCUCUCAUUCACUCACCUACCUGGAAGUUCCUGCUGGCUGUCAGUCAGGGGCUCAGGUGAGCCGUUGAUAGAAGCACCUCAAUUUCCUUCCAUAUGGACUCUCUACUAGGCUGGAGCUUAACACAGCAUAGCGCUAAAUUCCAAGCAGGAGUUUUUCAAGCAAGGGAAAGCAAAAGUUGCAAAUCUCUUAAGCCCUGACUUUGGAAGUUACACAACAUCACUGUUGUCACAUUCUAAUGAGCAAACCAAGUCAUAUGCCAGCCAAGAUGCAAGAGGAGUGGAAAGAAUCUUCACCCCUUGAUGGGAGAGGUGGCAGAAACUUUGCAGCCACCUUUUAACCCACUGCAGGUGGUCACCGUUAGGGAAAUAGAGAAUGAAACCCAACUUUGGUGACAUUAUUAUGGUGCUAAAGACCCCAGUUCACGGGCUGAGGAGUCACAACAAAUCGAGUGGAGGAGCAGUCACAUCACAACUGGCAGGGAGACCAACAACCUGAGGGCACAAAGCUGUGGAUACAGGAGAAACCUCUCCUCUUUCACUCCCUGUGUGAGCAUUGAUGACAGGAGUGGAGGCCUGGUGUUUUGAAGUCCAUUGACCUGGUCUAGCCACCUUUUUCUUUCCUUCUUUUGAGUCUGGAUAGGAUGUUCCUCAUGCAAACAGGAAGUCUUCUUUAACUGCAAACUCCUACUUCAAGUCUCCUGGUGAGAUGAGACUAGGAAACCUACUUCCUCUCCGCACCUUUCAAUUCCAAGCUCCAAACACAUCGUUCAACACUUGUUUUCCACAAGAAGUGACAAUGCUGUGAACUAAACAAAGUAGAACUUCAUCCUAGGGCUUAAUUCAUGUGUGGUAAGUUAAGACUACAUAGAUAGGCCGGGCACGGUGGCUCACGCCUGUAAUCCCAGCACUUUGGGAGGUGGAGGCAGGCAGAUCAAUUGAGGUCAGAGUUUAAGACCAGCCUGGCCAACAUGAUGAAACCAUUUUUACUAAAAAUACAAAAAUUAGCCAGGUGUGGUGGCACAUACCUGUAGUCCCAGCUACUCGGGAGACUGAGGCACGAGAAUUGCUUGAACCUGGGAGGCAGAGGCUGCAAUGAGCCAAGAUUGUGCCACUGCGCUCCAGCCUGGGUAACAGAGUGAAACUUCAUCUCAAAAAAUAAAAAGUAAAAAAAAA
rnacentral:lncRNA from 1 species